rnacentral:rRNA from 1 species
GACGGGGCCGCACAAGCGGUGGAGCAUGUGGUUAAUUCGACGCAACGCGAAGAACCUUACCAGGGUUUGACAUCCCCUGACGGCUGUGGAAACACAGAAUUCUAUUUUCGGAUAGACAGGGAGACAGGUGGUGCAUGGUUGUCGUCAGCUCGUGUCGUGAGAUGUUGGGUUAAGUCCCGCAACGAGCGCAACCCCUACGUUUAGUUGCUAACGGGUGGAGCCGAGCACUCUGGACGAACUGCCGUUGACAAAACGGAGGAAGUGGGAUGACGUCAAAUCAUCAUGCCCCUUAUGUCCUGGGCCACACACGUGCUACAAUGGCCGGUACAGAGGGAAGCGAAGCCGUGAGGCGGAGCAAAUCCCAAAAAGCCGGUCUCAGUUCGGAUUGCAGGCUGCAACCCGCCUGCAUGAAGUCGGAAUCGCUAGUAAUCGCAGGUCAGCAUACUGCGGUGAAUACGUUCCCGGGCCUU